GGCACGGUGGCUCAGUGGUUAGCGCGGCUGCCUCACCGCAAGUAGUCACUGCGGAGUUCGAUCCCCCCGUGUUU
rnacentral:tRNA from 1 species